UUAAGUUAUUAAGGGCGCACGGUGGAUGCCUUGGCACUAGAAGCCGAUGAAGGACGUUACUAACGACGAUAUGCUUUGGGGAGCUGUAAGUAAGCUUUGAUCCAGAGAUUUCCGAAUGGGGAAACCCAGCAUGAGUUAUGUCAUGUUAUCGAUAUGUGAAUACAUAGCAUAUCAGAAGGCACACCCGGAGAACUGAAACAUCUUAGUACCCGGAGGAAGAGAAAGAAAAUUCGAUUCCCUUAGUAGCGGCGAGCGAAACGGGAAGAGCCCAAACCAACAAGCUUGCUUGUUGGGGUUGUAGGACACUCUAUACGGAGUUACAAAGGACGACAUUAGACGAAUCAUCUGGAAAGAUGAAUCAAAGAAGGUAAUAAUCCUGUAGUCGAAAAUGUUGUCUCUCUUGAGUGGAUCCUGAGUACGACGGAGCACGUGAAAUUCCGUCGGAAUCUGGGAGGACCAUCUCCUAAGGCUAAAUACUCUCUAGUGACCGAUAGUGAACCAGUACCGUGAGGGAAAGGUGAAAAGCACCCCGGAAGGGGAGUGAAAUAGAACCUGAAACCGUGUGCUUACAAGUAGUCAGAGCCCGUUAAUGGGUGAUGGCGUGCCUUUUGUAGAAUGAACCGGCGAGUUACGAUUUGAUGCAAGGUUAAGCAGUAAAUGUGGAGCCGUAGCGAAAGCGAGUCUGAAUAGGGCGUUUAGUAUUUGGUCGUAGACCCGAAACCAGGUGAUCUACCCUUGGUCAGGUUGAAGUUCAGGUAACACUGAAUGGAGGACCGAACCGACUUACGUUGAAAAGUGAGCGGAUGAACUGAGGGUAGCGGAGAAAUUCCAAUCGAACCUGGAGAUAGCUGGUUCUCUCCGAAAUAGCUUUAGGGCUAGCCUCAAGUGAUGAUUAUUGGAGGUAGAGCACUGUUUGGACGAGGAGCCCCUCUCGGGUUACCGAAUUCAGACAAACUCCGAAUGCCAAUUAAUUUAACUUGGGAGUCAGAACAUGGGUGAUAAGGUCCGUGUUCGAAAGGGAAACAGCCCAGACCACCAGCUAAGGUCCCAAAAUAUAUGUUAAGUGGAAAAGGAUGUGGCGUUGCCCAGACAACUAGGAUGUUGGCUUAGAAGCAGCCAUCAUUUAAAGAGUGCGUAAUAGCUCACUAGUCGAGUGACACUGCGCCGAAAAUGUACCGGGGCUAAACAUAUUACCGAAGCUGUGGAUUGUCCUUUGGACAAUGGUAGGAGAGCGUUCUAAGGGCGUUGAAGCAUGAUCGUAAGGACAUGUGGAGCGCUUAGAAGUGAGAAUGCCGGUGUGAGUAGCGAAAGACGGGUGAGAAUCCCGUCCACCGAUUGACUAAGGUUUCCAGAGGAAGGCUCGUCCGCUCUGGGUUAGUCGGGUCCUAAGCUGAGGCCGACAGGCGUAGGCGAUGGAUAACAGGUUGAUAUUCCUGUACCACCUAUAAUCGUUUUAAUCGAUGGGGGGACGCAGUAGGAUAGGCGAAGCGUGCGAUUGGAUUGCACGUCUAAGCAGUAAGGCUGAGUAUUAGGCAAAUCCGGUACUCAUUAAGGCUGAGCUGUGAUGGGGAGAAGACAUUGUGUCUUCGAGUCGUUGAUUUCACACUGCCCAGAAAAGCCUCUAGAUAGAAAAUAGGUGCCCGUACCGCAAACCGACACAGGUAGUCAAGAUGAGAAUUCUAAGGUGAGCGAGCGAACUCUCGUUAAGGAACUCGGCAAAAUGACCCCGUAACUUCGGGAGAAGGGGUGCUCUUUAGGGUUAACGCCCAGAAGAGCCGCAGUGAAUAGGCCCAAGCGACUGUUUAUCAAAAACACAGGUCUCUGCUAAACCGUAAGGUGAUGUAUAGGGGCUGACGCCUGCCCGGUGCUGGAAGGUUAAGAGGAGUGGUUAGCUUCUGCGAAGCUACGAAUCGAAGCCCCAGUAAACGGCGGCCGUAACUAUAACGGUCCUAAGGUAGCGAAAUUCCUUGUCGGGUAAGUUCCGACCCGCACGAAAGGCGUAACGAUUUGGGCACUGUCUCAACGAGAGACUCGGUGAAAUCAUAGUACCUGUGAAGAUGCAGGUUACCCGCGACAGGACGGAAAGACCCCGUGGAGCUUUACUGUAGCCUGAUAUUGAAAUUCGGCACAGCUUGUACAGGAUAGGUAGGAGUCUUUGAAACGUGAGCGCUAGCUUACGUGGAGGCGCUGGUGGGAUACUACCCUAGCUGUGUUGGCUUUCUAACCCGCACCACUUAUCGUGGUGGGAGACAGUGUCAGGCGGGCAGUUUGACUGGGGCGGUCGCCUCCUAAAAGGUAACGGAGGCGCUCAAAGGUUCCCUCAGAAUGGUUGGAAAUCAUUCAUAGAGUGUAAAGGCAUAAGGGAGCUUGACUGCGAGACCUACAAGUCGAGCAGGGUCGAAAGACGGACUUAGUGAUCCGGUGGUUCCGCAUGGAAGGGCCAUCGCUCAACGGAUAAAAGCUACCCCGGGGAUAACAGGCUUAUCUCCCCCAAGAGUUCACAUCGACGGGGAGGUUUGGCACCUCGAUGUCGGCUCAUCGCAUCCUGGGGCUGUAGUCGGUCCCAAGGGUUGGGCUGUUCGCCCAUUAAAGCGGUACGCGAGCUGGGUUCAGAACGUCGUGAGACAGUUCGGUCCCUAUCCGUCGUGGGCGUAGGAAAUUUGAGAGGAGCUGUCCUUAGUACGAGAGGACCGGGAUGGACAUACCUCUGGUGUACCAGUUGUCGUGCCAACGGCAUAGCUGGGUAGCUAUGUGUGGACGGGAUAAGUGCUGAAAGCAUCUAAGCAUGAAGCCCCCCUCAAGAUGAGAUUUCCCAACUUCGGUUAUAAGAUCCCUCAAAGAUGAUGAGGUUAAUAGGUUCGAGGUGGAAGCAUGGUGACAUGUGGAGCUGACGAAUACUAAUCGAUCGAAGACUUAAUCAA
rnacentral:rRNA from 1 species